rnacentral:rRNA from 1 species
UACGGAGGGUGCGAGCGUUGUCCGGAAUUAUUGGGCGUAAAGAGCUCGUAGGUGGUUUGUCGCGUUGUUCGUGAAAACUCACAGCUCAACUGUGGGCGUGCGGGCGAUACGGGCAGACUAGAGUACUGCAGGGGAGACUGGAAUUCCUGGUGUAGCGGUGGAAUGCGCAGAUAUCAGGAGGAACACCGGUGGCGAAGGCGGGUCUCUGGGCAGUAACUGACGCUGAGGAGCGAAAGCGUGGGGAGCGAACAGG